UACAGAGGUCCCAAGCGUUGUCCGGAAUUAUUGGGCGUAAAGAGCUCGUAGGCGGUUCGUCGCGUCGGCUGUGAAAACCCGAGGCUCAACCUCGGGCCUGCAGUCGAUACGGGCGGACUGGAGUUCGGCAGGGGAGACUGGAAUUCCUGGUGUAGCGGUGAAAUGCGCAGAUAUCAGGAGGAACACCGGUGGCGAAGGCGGGUCUCUGGGCCGAUACUGACGCUGAGGAGCGAAAGCGUGGGGAGCGAACAGG
rnacentral:rRNA from 1 species